rnacentral:rRNA from 1 species
CCUACGGGAGGCAGCAGUGGGGGAUAUUGCACAAUGGGGGGAACCCUGAUGCAGCGACGCCGCGUGGGUGAAGGAGCGUUUCGGCGCAUAAAGCCCUAUCGGCAGGGAAGAAGAUGACGGUACCUGACCAAGAAGCCCCGGCUAACUACGUGCCAGCAGCCGCGGGAAUACGUAGGGGGCAAGCGUUAUCCGGAUUUACUGGGUGUAAAGGGGGCGCAGACGGCAAUGCAAGCCAGAAGUGAAAGCCCGGGGCCCAACCCCGGGACUGCUAUUGGAACUGCAUGGCUGGAGUACAGGAGGGGCAGGCGGAAUUCCUAGUGUAGCGGUGAAAUGCGUAGAUAUUAGGAGGAACACCGGUGGCGAAGGCGGCCUGCUGGACUGUGACUGACGUUGAGGCCCGAAGGCGUGGGGAGCAAACAGGAUUAGAUACCCGUGUAGUC